rnacentral:rRNA from 1 species
GAUGAACGCUGGCGGCGUGCCUAAUACAUGCAAGUCGAACGAAACUUCUUUAUCACCGAGUGCUUGCACUCACCGAUAAAGAGUUGAGUGGCGAACGGGUGAGUAACACGUGGGCAACCUGCCCAAAAGAGGGGGAUAACACUUGGAAACAGGUGCUAAUACCGCAUAACCAUAGUUACCGCAUGGUAACUAUGUAAAAGGUGGCUAUACUACCGCUUUUGGAUGGGCCCGCGGCGCAUUAGCUAGUUGGUAGGGUAAAGGCUUACCAAGGCAAUGAUGCGUAGCCGAAUUGAGAGGUUGAGCGGCCACAUUGGGACUGAGACACGGCCCAAACUCCUACGGGAGGCAGCAGUAGGGAAUCUUCCACAAUGGGCGAAAGCCUGAUGGAGCAACGCCGCGUGGGUGAAGAAGGUCUUCGGAUCGUAAAACCCUGUUGUUAGAGAAGAAAGUGCGUGAGAGUAACUGUUCACGUUUCGACGGUAUCUAACCGGAAAGCCACGGCUAACUACGU